UACGAACCGUACAAACGUUAUUCGGAAUCACUGGGCUUAAAGGGUGCGUAGGCGGCCAUGUAAGUGAGGUGUGAAAUCCCUCGGCUCAACCGAGGAACUGCGCUUCAUACUGCAUGGCUUGAGGGAGACAGGGGUAAGCGGAACUGAUGGUGGAGCGGUGAAAUGCGUUGAUAUCAUCAGGAACACCGGUGGCGAAAGCGGCUUACUGGGUCUCUUCUGACGCUGAGGUACGAAAGCUAGGGCAGCGAACGGG
rnacentral:rRNA from 1 species